rnacentral:rRNA from 1 species
UACGAAGGGGGCUAGCGUUGCUCGGAAUCACUGGGCGUAAAGCGCACGUAGGCGGAUCUUUAAGUCAGGGGUGAAAUCCUGGAGCUCAACUCCAGAACUGCCUUUGAUACUGGGGAUCUCGAGUCCGGAAGAGGUGAGUGGAACUCCGAGUGUAGAGGUGAAAUGCGUAGAUAUCUGGAGGAACACCGGUGGCGAAGGCGGCAUCCUGGACCGGUAUUGACGCUGAGGCGCGAAAGCCAGGGGAGCAAACGGG